rnacentral:rRNA from 1 species
UAGGGAAUAUUAGAAAUGGACGAAAGUCUGAUCUAGCAACACCGCGUGUGCGAAGAAGGCCUUCGGGUUGUAAAGCACUUUUUGGAAGGAUUAGGAAGGAAUGUACUUCCAGAAUAAGUCUCGGCUAACUACGUGCCAGCAGCCGCGGUAACACGUAGGAGGCAAACGUUAUCCGGAUUUACUGGGCGUAAAGCGCGUGUAGGUGGUUCUGUAAGUAGGGCGUGAAAGCUCCUGGCUCAACUGGAGAGGCCGUUCUAAACUGCAGAGCUAGAGGAUGGUAGAGGGAGGUGGAAUUCCGGGUGUAGCGGUGGAAUGCGCGGAUAUCCGGAGGAACACCAGUGGCGAAAGCGGCCUCCUGGACCACUCCUGACACUCAGACGCGAAAGCUAGGGUAGCAAACGG